AGAAAGCUAUAAUGAAAGUCACAUACCUGGAGCUAUAAAAGCAAACCAUGAACACUGUCUACAAAGUAGGGGGAAAUUCCACUUCCCUAAAACAGGAGAUAAAACAAAACCCCACAAUGAAGCCAACAGCAAAAAACGUUAAGCUCAGAAAUCUGCUGACUCUGGAAAUUCUGUUCCACCGGAACACAAGGCUACAGCUUUGCAGGGGGCCCAGGAAAGACCUUAGCCACUUGGAUAUCAACCACUACCCACCUGGAUACUCUCUGUGAUGAAAAGCAGAUCAAAGGGGAUUGGAAACUAUGGAACUACCCACAGCUUGCAACAGAAAAGGUCAACUGUAGCAUUCUCACCAUCUCUGAGGUUUUUAUACGGAGACAUAAGCAUCAGCAGACAGCUCAUGGACCCUUUGGAGCCACCAGAAAUGAAGCUGAUAAAUGUAAACAUCUGCCCAAAGCAAACUGAUAUUCCAAUGAAUAGUUUCAGACCCAAGGAAAGACCCAAGUGCUUCUUCGAACACUUGCAGGUUGACUGCAGCAUUUAGAGAGAUGAAGGAAAGAUCAGAGGAGAUGCUAUGAAAGAUCACAUGACCUGCUGCCAUUUCUCAGUGUUUUCCCAAUAUAAUUUUGUUAGAAAAUAUUAUUAACCACAAAGGCAGCAAUCAUUAAACUGCACUGUCUGUGCCACUCACUUUACACCUAGAUUUCCCCUUCCCUCAAUGUCCUAUGAGUCCAUCUAUACUGUGCCUAUCAAAUAACUUCUUGGAAAGGAUUGCUGAAAAUCAAAAUUCAGAAAAGGGUAUAAGUGUUCAUAUACAGAGAAAAGCAACUCCACGGGCCCUUAACCAAUAAUCUUCUGAAGCCCAAACAAAACAAGCUAUAACUUCUUCUAUUCACAUUUUUCUACUUGCCUUGUCCACAGACCAAAUAGCCAUAGAAAGAACCAAGCUGCUCCAUUUCUAUAAUUCACUUUUUCUUAGCAAAAGUCUGGGAACAGAAGGCAAAAGAAAGGGGAGCAGCUGCCGCCUGAUCUUUUUAUUAACGCCCUCAGCUCAUUCCCCAUUCUCCUCUUCAUUGUUUCAGGUCCUUUUCUCAGCAACCUAAGUCCCAGCUCACAAGAAGAAAAAAUUAGCCUUCUGUGUGUCAAUACCCACAGUUAUUUAAAAAAAAAAAAAAGAAAAAAAAAAAGCCUAGAUCACUUCUAUGAGGUGACGUAAUUAUAAGUUAAAAUAGGUGAAAGUUCAAUUUUAAAUUGUUGGUCUGCUUUGUUUUGAAUUUCAGACGAGAUCGGGCGCGUUCAGGGUGGUAUGGCCGUAGACUUGUUUUGAAUUUCAAUAAAUUGCUUAUAACUAUAUGAACUCCUUACAUGAUCCACUUAGUGAACCCUUUAGACACUACAGGUGUUUUUGAAAGAAAAUUACACAAUUUCCAUCUCUUUUUU